GGGGAAUAUUGCACAAUGGGCGCAAGCCUGAUGCAGCCAUGCCGCGUGUAUGAAGAAGGCCUUCGGGUUGUAAAGUACUUUCAGCGGGGAGGAAAUCCAGCUGGCUAAUACCCGGUUGGGAUGACGGUACCCAAAGAAUAAGCACCGGCUAACUUCGUGCCAGCAGCCGCGGUAAUACGAAGGGUGCAAGCGUUACUCGGAAUUACUGGGCGUAAAGCGUGCGUAGGUGGUCGUUUAAGUCCGUUGUGAAAGCCCUGGGCUCAACCUGGGAACUGCAGUGGAUACUGGACGACUAGAGUGUGGUAGAGGGUAGCGGAAUUCCUGGUGUAGCAGUGAAAUGCGUAGAGAUCAGGAGGAACAUCCAUGGCGAAGGCAGCUACCUGGACCAACACUGACACUGAGGCACGAAAGCGUGGGGAGCAAACA
rnacentral:rRNA from 1 species